AACAGUGAAGACAUCAGGAAAAAAAUGAGAAAUGAUAACCCUUUUUUUUUUUUUUUUUUUGCCUUCUCAG
rnacentral:miRNA from 1 species